ACAUUGGUGGUUCUGUGGUAGAAUUCUUACCUUCCAUGCGGAAGAUCUGGGUUCAAUUCCUGACCAAUGUA
rnacentral:tRNA from 1 species